GAAACAAUCCAUCUCUGUGAGUUUACAUCCCAUGCCUAAUGCAGGAAUGAAAGCCGGUGUGCUAAUCUCCAUUGUUUAGAAUGCUAUAAGGACAGUUCUGAGAAAACAAGAUCACUUCUGGGGUCCAUUCACAGAACAUGCUUAUAGUGGUAUUAUUCCACUAACUUCCAUUCUAUGGAUGCCUGGAAUUUGCGUUUAGAAUUCUCAGCUUGAAAGCUUCAGUGCCGCACCAAGGCACAAACUUCAGGAUUCCAUAGAAUGGAAUCAUGGCAGAUAAAGUGGAAUCAUAUUGCUAUAAUUCUGUAGUGUGAAUGGGCUCCAGGUGUCAUUCAUGUAGAGGGACCCAUGGGCUGUCUGUCUAGAAUUUCCAUUCCUUUCCAUUCCUUCAUCUUUCCUCUGAAUUUCUUUCAUCCAGCUCUCUUCUGCUUUACAUAAUAAAAUGCUUUAUUUGUCUGAGUCAUCUGGAUGUUAUCUGUUCAUUGUAUUCUUUGGUCUAUCAGCACUCAUGACAUUAUAUAUCUCAGUUUAUGGAGCACUCUAAUAUGGAUGAAUUACUGGGGGAUUAGGGAAAACAGAUAUCAGGGGCAUCUUGUCCUAAUAAUUCUGUGGUUUUAUAGCUCCAUUUACCUUCACUGCGCCCUUUGCUAAUCUGUUUGUUGAAGAUCUGGUUUUAAUUGAUUUCCUUUUCUGACUCUGCUGUUUACCUGCCCAGAAUAAACAGAAGGUUAGUAACCCAGAGUUAAUGCUUACUGUGUGAUUAAAGUGUAGAUAGGUAGAACAGUUUCCCUGAGUUGCCACAAGCACCAAAGUAUGACACAAAAGCUGACAUCAGUUUGUCUACUCUAAACAAGGAAAAAGAACUUUUGCCUAGCAGUAUUGCGUAUAUUUGAUUAGGCAGAGCUCACUGUCUCCCACCCUCCUAAAGAACCAAGGCCAAACAGAGUCCUUUAGGAUUCUGGAAAUAAAACAGGAUAUCUUUCAUGAGUCCCAUGGAUUUGUUCUGGCAUGUAUUUUGUCUAUGAGAGGGUUCAGGUCUGGCUGAAAAUGUUGCCGAAAUUAUGGGAAGUCAUGAAUUAGUAAUUGUUUAAGAUGCCUAGCUGCUAAAUCACUGCCUGUUGAUGUUGAGGAAUUCCGGCAUAAGAGACAACAGAGGGUGGCAGGAGGUGGGAGUACAAGUCUUGGGGAAAAGUAUCAGGGAAAUGAAUCAAUUCCUGCUUUUGUUGGAGAUUUCCUAUGUUGUCUAGAUCUGGAAUUUAACUUCUGUGAGAUUUAAUAGUAGCUCCUCAUUUUAUCAUAGGAAUAGUGUGCUUUCAUUAGUCUUUCUUAUGGCUAUUUUGAAGCAAAAUACAAUGGACUGAAUCAGAACUCAUCAUACAUAUAUUCAUUUAUUUAUUGCAUUUCUAUUCCUCCUUUCCUUGAAUGCACUCAAGGUGGUAUACAUGGCUGUCCUUGUCUCCACAUUAUCAUGAAAUGAAAUGAAGAACAAGCUGAGAGAGUGACUGCCAUAAGGUCACCCGGACUCACUGGUCCUAACUGCGCUUUGCCUAAUUUAAAAGGACAUCUGAAUCACAACAUCGCCAUCUGGAUCUCUGGCAAGGCCAGGAAGGCUUAGCAGAGCACAGUCAGCUGCAGAGCGUUGUUGUUGCUGUAGUCAGGUGAUAAAAAUAGAGCAUAGAAUUUUUCAAGGCCCGUGCUUUUCAGCUCUCUCCCAAAAUGGAUGAGAAGAUAUUUUUCCACUGCCAAGGUUCCUCACCAUCAACCUACAUCACUGACUGCUCUGGGUGGCAAUAACACCAAGGUGUGAUGACACCAUGUCUUUUUUUUUUUUUAAUGUGAAAAGACAUUCCUAAAGGUAAGAGGAGAAGGAGAAUCCAGAUUUUUACUAGUAGCAGCAAUCUUUGCUGUAAUACCUAUGUCUCACUUUAGGGUGGAAAAGAAGGAAUCAUAUGAAAAUUCCCUCCCCCUCCAUAACCAUCAAACAAAAUAGAUGUACAGAUGCACAGUCUCCAUAUUUGAGGACAUCCGAGCUUGUCCAGCCAUUCUGAACAAACAAAAGGGAAUCUGUGUCUUCAUUUUGUUUUUUCUUUCUUUCUUUCAAACUUCCGAAAGGAAACAGAAUUUGCUGUUAGCUAAUCUAAAUGCAACUUGGAAAAUUUACUCUUUGGAAUUAUAGCUCCCAUAAUCAUUCAGCCAGCAUUGACUAUUGGUUCUUAUGCAGGACUGUUAGUUUUUGCAAAUACAAUCAAGAACAUUAGGAGUCUUUUGGAAGGGGCUGUGGGGUAUUUUUGGACUGCGUUGAAAUUCCAAUGUACCAAAGGAGUAGCAGUAGUACUGGGGCCAGGGGUAAGGUUAGCAAUAUGACUAAUCUUAGUGAGUUCAGUCUACUGAAAACCCAAGUAUGUCACCUAUGCUUUUUGGCAUCAAGGUUCACUGAAAUGGGAUGUUUUUCCCCAAUGCAUUAAACUGGCUGGGAGAAAUGGCAAAACAUAAUAGAUUUGUUGGAACACUGUCCUGAAUCCUACUGUUAUUCUGAACCAGAGUAGACCCACUAAAUCAAUAGGAUGUAUUUAAUGUUGACUGAUCAUUCAACAAUUGAUGUAAUCUACUGCAUUUGGGACCAACUGAAAAAAUUCAGAACUUUGGGUCCUAUACCAGGAGAAAGGAAGGACAAAAAUUAGAGAAAGGGAUAGAGAGACAGAAAGAAAACUAUUGAAGUGACAAUGUUGAUGACUAUCUAUCUUAGAUUGUUUCAAACUACACAAAUGUAGAAUGAUGAUUCUACUUUAAUUGGCAUAGUUCCAUUUUAUGGAAUUCUGGGAUUUGCAUUUUUGGGAGGGAUAAUAAAAAUUUGUUGUCAAGGGGCAUCAAUGCUUUACCAAGCUACAAAUCCCACUAUUCCACUGUUACUAUAAUUCUGUAGUGUGAAAGAGCCUCUUGUAGGUCUACUUUUGUGUGAAUUCUGUAACAGAAUGUGACUCUGGAGGAUUCAAAUGUCUUGCCCUAGUGCAUGAGAUUUGAAGAUUUAAAUUUUAUUUGGCAUAAACUGUUGUGGAUUAUAGCCCACUUGAACUGGAUGAAGUGGGCUGCUGUCUACAAAAAAGUAUGCCAGAUAAAAUGAAGAAGUCUUUAAGAUGCCACGAGAGUAACUGGUGCUGCGACAAAUUAGCACAGUGACCCACCAGGAAACACUUCUCUAAAAAGAGGUUCUUCCAUGAAUACAGCCCUCAGUGUGCAUGCAUUUCUCCAUAUAAUUGCCUUUCUUGCUUCUUUGUCUUUCGAAAGUAGAAGUUUGAAAUGUGUUAUGUCUCCCUGCUGGUCCAUAAAAAGCUAUUCUAGUGUCCUAGUUGUACUUCCUUAUUAGAAUAAGUGCGAACUACUAUAUAUAAGUAUGGGUUGCAAACACCAAACAGCACAGUGUAUGUAGGCCAAGAGUAAGGUGACAAGCUGCAAAGGAGAACAAGGCUUCUGAAUUUUUAACAGCCCAGAGCAGAAAUGUCAAGAGGUAGAGAUAUUUCAUACUCCUGUAGGUCAGGCUAUAUCUGUCAAAAUGCCACUUGUCCACCACUAUAAAGGAUAGAGGAUGUCUGUUGUGUUUUGUGCCUGAGGAACUUUCCCUAAAAUGUUUGUCUGGUCAUUCAUCUACUUCAGAGCUUGGAAAGCAGUGGUGUCACUAGGGCAGGGGUAGGCAACCUUUUUGAGCCGAGGGCCGGGUUGCUGUCCCUC